GAACUAUAGAAAAAACAAAACAAACAUUGGCAAGCAGAAAGUUAAAUUUGAUGACUUGAGUCUCCAACAGUAACGGUGACACUACUUCCCUGGAAAGACUGGAUACGAUGGUCAAUCGGAAGCCACCGUCAUUGGCGCAGGCUCCUCGAGUUCUCGAUCAGUGGAUAAGACAACCCUGGCAAACGAUUUGCCACCACUUUGCAGCGCCCGAGAGAACGAAACGGACUGGUUACUGGAACAAGUCGCAACUCUCCGAUUUCUGGGAAGUUCGAAUACGUCUAAGGUGACCUGCAUAAUAUCGGAGAUCUGCUAGCCGUUCCAGGAACAAAUGUGUUUCCGCUUAACUAGUCUUAGAGAAGCGGCACUCUAUAUGAAAUGGCUCCUUCUGAACGUUGACGGGGACUGCUCUGAUAACAGGAUGCUAUCAGCGCUGGAUUUAAUGUUCACACUUGAAUUCCAAGCAUCUUGUACGUGGACUGGAUCAAGCCGUAAAGGACCGAAAACUGCUAUGAUGCCGAAUCGGAGAAUUCUGUCAAUUUUCCAAAGAAUUGGGCAGACGGAAACUGAAACAGUUAACCAAGCUAAGCUGGCGGCGUUUUUCAAGAAGAAGCUUAAAAAUGCUUUCAAAAGGUUGUCGAACAGUGGACAACGUCGUGGUUCUCGUCACGUUAAAACUAAAAUACCAAAGCUCGUGCAAGAAAAACAAGGGAACGAUGAUUUGGAUUCGACGGAUGUUUCAUGCGAUGAAUAUGAAUAUUUAGAUGACCGAAUGGAUUUCUUUCAACAUGACAACACUGAUGAAUCUUCAUAAGUUUUUAAUAUUCACGUUUAUUAAUAUUUACAACAACUUACAUCCUAUGAUAACAUGAAAUAAUUUGUUUUGUUUUUGCUAGGUAGCAUGAAAUCAUUUGUUUUACUGCUAGAUAAGUGUAGUUCAAUUCAUUUGAAUUGUUUUAGUCUAAAAUCUAAGUACUUGUUAAAAAAAACCUUUAUAUUUGCAUUGUAUGCAAUAACGGUAUAAAUAUAUAAUGAGAACCACAGUUAA